CUGAUCUCAUUUUAGUCCCCUCUAUAAAAAAAACCCUCACUCGCUCUCCCUCUCAAAUUUACUCAAAAAAUAAGGACCUUCAAUCUCGUCGAUCUCUCUGCUGUGGAAAUUAGGGGUUUGAUAAUGGAGGGCGAAGGUCAUCUCUCGUUUUGAAGGGAUGCUGCUUGCAUCUGGGUCUGCUGACUGCACCAUGUAAAGUUGUGGGAUGCUCCCUCCAGCACAAAGGCAAUCAAAAGGAUGAAACAAUGGAAGCAGUGAUAACCGGCGCAGGUUACUGAAAGGCUCUUGCAACCAACCGACUCCUGUCUAUAACUUGCAGUUUUCUCAUAAUUAAGAAGCUAGGGAUAACAUAUUGGCGGAGCAAACGAAAUGUUGAUCAGAAAGGUCAGUUCAUGUAUCUAUCGUUCUAUUGCAGCAUUCAUCAUUCCUCCAUGCAAUAUCUCACUUUGGAGUCGAAAUCAUAG